rnacentral:lncRNA from 1 species
UGACCCCAGCUCAAAUCCUUGGCCUGCAGCAUGCAACCAAGACCAGGGCAGCUUGUGACUCCUCUUGGCCGUGGAGCUCGGAGCCCUUGAUGGUGAAAUCUGAGGAUGGAGCCCCAGAGGUAACCUCGCCUUGUGUGGUAACCGCAACCAACAGGUGGCCAAAGCUGCUGGAGCACCCUCAUGUCAUGCAUCCACCAAGGAGCCACAUCGUGGUGCAGUGGCUUGGCACGGUGAAGGACAAUAUCAAGAGCUGUUGGCCACCAGGAUGGGGAGAAAGAAAAGGUGCCCUUCUUCACAAAAUGGAGCGUGUUGCAACUGCCUGCAGAGCUGGCUUACACAGUGAUGGGGGCGUACUUACAUUACCAAACAUCGUGAUGACAGGCAUCUUGGGAUCUUCCAAGGCAGUAUUGUUAAGUAAAUCAACAAGCGGCUUAAUGCUCAACAUGUGAAGGUGAGCGAAUGAUGUUCAAGCAGAAGGACUGGGUAGGGCUCUGAGGAGUAUCCAAAGAAUCUGAAAUAAAAGGCUUUGAAGAAAAAUGUCAGAGGUCAUGGAAACCAACUCUGAACACAUGCCUACCUCGUUUCCUAAAGACCCAAAAUCUAUAAUGAGUGGGCCAGAUUCUCAGCUCGUGCAACUGGUGGAGCUCCACUGCCUGCAGGAAAGGACACAGGAACUGGCCACUGUGGGCUUCUUGCCAUCCAAAUUAACUGCUGCACAUCUGGCGUGGAGGAGCUUCAGCCCUUUCUGCCAUUCUACUGCUGCGAUACCUCUGCCAUCCCGUCUGCUUCGACAGGCCCACCGAGGGCUACCGAAGCAAAAGGACCGAGACAAAGUGUUCGAGUUCGAAAUGUCUGUGGUUUUGGAUAACGCCCGCUGUGAAAAAUCCAGGGAGUGGUUAACUGAAGGCUACACUGUAGGUGGCUUCUUUGAAAAAGUGCCUCUGCACACACUUAGCCAUCCCUCCAUCCUCUGUACGUGCCAAGCUCCACAUGUGCUGGGCGUGCGUUUCAGACCUGCCUUGGCACCAUGGUGGGACUGCUCGCUCUGGGGCAGUCAGUGUGAUCUCACCCUGGACACAGUCAUUUUCCUCCUGCUGGAAAAAGAACGCCUGGGCUAUUAG